GAUGAACGCUGGCGGCGUGCCUAAUACAUGCAAGUCGAGCGAACGGACGAGAAGCUUGCUUCUCUGAUGUUAGCGGCGGACGGGUGAGUAACACGUGGAUAACCUACCUAUAAGACUGGGAUAACUUCGGGAAACCGGAGCUAAUACCGGAUAAUAUUUUGAACCGCAUGGUUCAAAAGUAAAAGACGGUCUUGCUGUCACUUAUAGAUGGAUCCGCGCUGCAUUAGCUAGUUGGUAAGGUAACGGCUUACCAAGGCAACGAUGCAUAGCCGACCUGAGAGGGUGAUCGGCCACACUGGAACUGAGACACGGUCCAGACUACUACGGGAGGCAGCAGUGGGGAAUCUUCCGCAAUGGGCGAAAGCCUGACGGAGCAACGCCGCGUGAGUGAUGAAGGUCUUCGGAUCGUAAAACUCUGUUAUUAGGGAAGAACAUAUGUGUAAGUAACUGUGCACAUCUUGACGGUACCUAAUCAGAAAGCCACGGCUAACUACGUG
rnacentral:rRNA from 1 species